GGCUCAGAAUCAACGCUGGCGGCGCGCCUAACACAUGCAAGUCGAACGAGAAAGCGGGGGCAACCUCGCAAGUAAAGUGGCGUACGGGUGAGUAACACGUGGGUAAUCUACCCUUUAGUGGGGAAUAACGCUGGGAAACCGGCGCUAAUACCGCAUAAGCUCGAGAGAGGAAAGCAGCAAUGCGCUGAAGGAGGAGCCCGCGGCCGAUUAGCCAGUUGGUAGGGUAAUGGCCUACCAAAGCAAAGAUCGGUAGCCGGCCUGAGAGGGCACACGGCCACACUGGCACUGAAACACGGGCCAGACUCCUACGGGAGGCAGCAGUGGGGAAUCUUGCACAAUGGGGGAAACCCUGAUGCAGCGACGCCGCGUGAGCGAUGAAGCCCUUCGGGGUGUAAAGCUCUUUCGGCAGGGACGAUUAUGACGGUACCUGCAGAAGCAGCUGCGGCUAACUACGUGCCAGCAGCCGCGGUAAUACGUAGGCAGCAAGCGUUGUUCGGAGUUACUGGGCGUAAAGGGUGUGUAGGCGGUCUUCUAAGUUUGGUGUGAAAUCUCCCGGCUUAACCGGGAGGGUGCGCCGAAAACUGGAAGGCUAGAGUGCGGGAAGGGAGAGUAGAAUUCCUGGUGUAGCGGUGAAAUGCGUAGAUAUCAGGAGGAAUACCGGUGGUGCAGACGGCUCUCUGGACCGCAACUGACGCUGAAACACGAAAGCGUGGGUAGCAAACAGGAUUAGAUACCCUGGUAGUCCACGCCCUAAACGAUGCAUAUUUGGUGUGGGUCAUUCAGUUGAUCCGUGCCGGAGCUAACGCGUUAAAUAUGCCGCCUGGGGAGUACAGUCGCAAGGCUGAAACUCAAAU
rnacentral:rRNA from 1 species